GGAUUAGGCAUGCAAGUCGAACGAGAAAGGUUUCGCAAGAGACCGAGUAAAGUGGCGGAAGGGUGAGUAAUGCAUAAAUAACUUACCUCUGAGAAGGGAAUAACCGCUCGAAAGGGUGGCUAAUACCCUAUAAGACCACGGGCCGCAUGGCUUGUGCUCAAAGAUGGGGACUCGCAAGGGCCUUUCGCUCAGAGAGAGAUUUAUGUCCUAUUAGCUAGUUGGUGAGGUAGUUGCUCACCAAGGCAAUGAUGGGUAGCCGACCUGAGAGGGUGACCGGCCACACUGGGACUGAGACACUGCCCAGACUCCUACGGGAGGCUGCAGUCGAGAAUCUUCCGCAAUGCGCGCAAGCGUGACGGAGCGACGCCGCGUGGGUGAUGAAGGCCUUCGGGUUGUAAAGCCCUGUUACCCGGGAAGAAUGACAAUUGGUUAAUAGCCUCUUGUUUGACGUUACCGGGAGAGGAAGCACCGGCUAAAUACGUGCCAGCAGCCGCGGUAAUACGUAUGGUGCAAACGUUGUUCGGAAUCACUGGGCAUAAAGAGCACGUAGGCGGACAAGCAAGUCUGAUGUGAAAUCCCCCGGCUUAACCGGGGAGGUGCAUUGGAAACUACUUGACUAGAGUGCAGGAGGGGAGAGUGGAAUUCCAGGUGGAGCGGUGAAAUGCGUAGAUAUCUGGAGGAACGCCGGUGGCGAAAGCGACUCUCUGGUCUGCUACUGACGCUGAGGUGCGAAAGCUAGGGGAGCAAACGGGAUUAGAUACCCCGGUAGUCCUAGCCCUAAACGAUGGGCACUAAGUAGAGGGGUUUU
rnacentral:rRNA from 1 species